UAUUCCCAGACCCCUUCUCUCUCUCUCUCUCUCUCACUCGGUCUCUCUCUUCCGUAGCCUUCCUCCUCUUCCCAGACCCCUUUUCUCACUCUAUAAUUUCCCUCAAAUCUGCUUUCUUUGCUGAAAAGGUAGCUAAUAUGCUUUCUUUGCUGAAAGGGUAGCUAUCGUAUUGUUCUGCACCGUCGCCUGCACCACCGUCUCAGAAAAGUGAGCCAAAAUCUCGCGAGAAUCAGGCUGCACACGAGCGGAUCCAAAGGCCAAACCUCCGAUCUUGAAGUCGACACACCCAGAGGAUCAUAUCAUAUGGACGCCUGGCUUUUGAUUGCAGCAGUCUCCUAAUCUAUUGGCUUUCGGUUCGCUGGUAAUGUGAUGUUGUCUCUGUCUUGGCUUGAAGUAUCUCACUCAUAUGUAUUCAAUCUGAAAAGGGAGAGCUUGUGCGUGCUUUAGGAGGAGUUGUGGCAUCCACAUCUCUUCUUGGAGUUCCUCUUGGACAUAACUCCUCGUUUCUUCAAGGGCCGACCUUUGCACCUCCAAGGAUUAGAGAGGCUAUCUGGUGUGGGAGCACCAACUCAACAACUGAAGAAGGAGAGGUCAAUUCCUUGAAGGAGGAAGUGACAACCCUAAGAGGUCAGGUUGCGGCCCAGGGCGAGAGGAUGAAUAUAAUUCUUCAGGCCUUAGCGAUGUCCGGCCUCCAAAUCCCGACGAUGCCAGCACCUAAUGUUGCUCCACCUUCGACUUCCCAGCCAUUUCACCCAGACGAUACCGAGUAGCAUGAUGUAUUAAACUUAGAAGACUUGUAGUUUUUUAUUUUUUUGUUCGGACAAACGUACAUUUUCAUAUAUUCUAUAAUUAAUUACUUUUUCUUGGUUUA